CACAAACGCAGCUGUGAGAAAACGCAGCAACUUCCUCUUCCAAACCAACAGACGGCGCUAUCGGUCAAUUUACACCAGUCUCCCGAGAAGCAUUACAUCAUUCCACAGUACAGUGCAGGUUCGCGGGGAACCUGGAGCCUGUCCCAGGGAGUAUGGGGCACAAGGCAGGGUACACCCUGGACAGGGUGCCAAUCCAUCGCAGAGCACAAUCAUAUACGCAAUCACACACUACAGACCCUUUGGACAUGCCAGUCAGCCUACCAUGCUUUGGACUGUGGGGAAAACCAAAGUACACAGAGGAAACCCUGCAGCACGGGGGAGCCGCGGGAAUCAAACCCCCAACCCUGGUGGUGUGAGGCAAACGUGCUAACCACUAAGCCAGAUCAAUACCGUAUAAUGUCCAAUAUUGUCCAAAAAGUGUUACUGAUUGUACUGAUGGAAUCUAAGUGUAAUAAAAUGAUAUAAUGUUGUAUGUUUUA
ensembl:lncRNA